rnacentral:rRNA from 1 species
UGCUCGAGUGGCGAACGGGUGAGUAACACGUGGGUGAUCUGCCCUGCACUUCGGGAUAAGCCUGGGAAACUGGGUCUAAUACCGGAUAGGAGCCAUUUUUAGUGUGAUGGUUGGAAAGUUUUUUCGGUGUAGGAUGAGCUCGCGGCCUAUCAGCUUGUUGGUGGGGUAAUGGCCUACCAAGGCGGCGACGGGUAGCCGGCCUGAGAGGGUGACCGGCCACAUUGGGACUGAGAUACGGCCCAGACU